GUGGGACGAAAAGCCCCCGUGAACCUUUACUAUAGCUUCACAGUGAACUUUGAGCAUGUUUGUGUAGGAUAGCUGGGAGGCUUUGAAGUGGGAACGCCAGUUCUCAUGGAGCCAACCUUGAAAUACCAGCCUGACAUGUUUGAGGUUCUAACUUGGUCCCCUUAUCGGGGAUGAGGACACUGUGUGGUGGGUAGUUUGACUGGGGCGGUCUCCUCCCAA
rnacentral:rRNA from 14 species